ACACAUGUUAUAUUUUAAUAUUUUAUAUUUUUCUUAUAUGCAUAAACAAAAAUCUGGGUGCAAUGGAGUACAUCUGUAGCCAGUCAGGUGGGAGGCUUCAAUUAGGACACUAAAACAACUUGACAAAAAGAGGGCUGAAUGAAGGCCUGGCUGAAGUGGUAGAGUGCUUGCCUAGCAAGUGUGAGGAAGGAAGACAGGGAUUGUUCAUUGGAUUUUUACAAA